CCUGUGCUCCCAGGGCCUCGC
rnacentral:miRNA from 1 species